UUGAGACGCGGCAUACGGCUCAGUAACACGUGGCUAACCUACCCUCAGGACAGGGACAAACCCGGGAAACUGGGGCUAAUACCAGAUAGGCGAGGACGCCUGGAAUGGUUCUUCACCCAAAGGACCUUGGAAACAUGCUUCCAAGUCGCCUGGGGAUGGGGCCGCGUCCGAUCAGGUUGUUGGUGAGGUAACGGCUCACCAAGCCUAUAACCGGUACGGGCCGUGAGAGCGGUAGCCCGGAUAUGGGCACUGAGACAAGGGCCCAUGCCCUACGGGGCGCAGCAGUCGCUAAAACUCCGCAAUGCACGAAAGUGUGACGGGGCUACCCCGAGUGCCGUCCGCUGAGGAUGGCUUUUCCUCGGUGUAACUAGCCGGGGGAAUAAGGAGAGGGCAAGACUGGUGUCAGCCGCCGCGAGUAUACCAGCUCUCCGAGUGGUAGGGACGAUUAUUGGGCUUAAAGCGUCCGUAGCUGGCUUAGCAAGUCUCCUGUUAAAUUCAGCGACCUAAUCGUUGAGC
rnacentral:rRNA from 1 species